rnacentral:rRNA from 1 species
GACGAGCCACACGAACGUUAUUCGGAAUUACUGGGCUUAAAGGGUGCGUAGGCUGCGCGGAAAGUUGGGUGUGAAAUCCCUCGGCUCAACCGAGGAACUGCGCCCAAAACUACCGUGCUCGAGGAAGAUAGAGGUAAGCGGAACUUACGGUGGAGCGGUGAAAUGCGUUGAUAUCGUAAGGAACACCUGUGGCGAAAGCGGCUACUGGGUCUUUUCUGACGCUGAUGCACGAAAGCUAGGGGAGCAAACGGGAGUUAGAAACCCU